rnacentral:rRNA from 1 species
AUCAUUAGUGAAUGAAAGGGUACUUUUUAACUAAAGGCCCGCCCUUCCACUUUCUAACCCUGUCCACUAUUUAAUAUGAACUGGGAUCAUUCUUUUAUUAGAAUGUGAAAAGUUCAGUUUACUUUAAACCACUAGUUAAAGAAUGUAAAUAAAAACAAAACUAAAAAAAACUUUCAACAACGGAUCUCUUGGCUCUCGCAUCGAUGAAGAACGCAGCGAAAUGUGAUAAGUAAUGUGAAUUGCAGAAUUCAGUGAAUCAUCGAAUCUUUGAACGCACCUUGCACUCUUUGGUAUUCCGAAGAGUAUGUCUGUUUGAGUGUCAUGAACUCUUCAACCCAAUUAGUUUUAUAUUAAUUUGGAGUUUGGAUUUUGAGUGUUGCUGAUCCUUUGGGAUGAAGCUCAUUCGUAAUACAUUAGCAUCUCGAUUUCGAUAUUCGGAUUGACUUGGCGUAAUAGACUAUUCGCUGAGGACACUUUUAUUAGUGGCCGGAUUUGAAGAUUAGAAGCUUCUAAUUGAACAAGUCAAUUUUGAUUUAGACCUCAAAUCAGAUAGGAUUACCCGCUGAACUUAAGCAUAUCAAUAAGCGGAGGA